AAUGGAAGAGGCAUAAGGGCUUUCAGAGAAGAAUUAUAUAACAAGUUCAAUAUUAUUUAAAGGGGAGAGAUGAUGUGUGUGAGUUUUAAUCUCCCACAUGGCUAACACAAAGGAUCUUUAGACUUCUUGAGAGUUUUGUUUUUGUUUUAAUCUUAAUUUAACUUUAUCUCAUAACGCAUUGCACUAGGUAUUAAGGAUAACAUGGUGAACAAAAGACUAAACCCUUGUCCUAUGGCUUCUCUAAUUAUUAUGUGGAAAGACACAGAAUACUGCAUAAAUGAAAUUAUGAACAUUACAGCCAGGGAAUCCAUUCUACAAGAAUAUGUGUACAAAGAUGUAUGUGCACAAAGGCUCACUGUAGCAUUAUUUGUAAGAGCAAACGUCAGUGUCCACCAAUUAGUGAAUGAUCACAUGGGCAGGGCACAUCCAUAUAACGCAAUACUGUGCUAACGAAUAAAGCGAAUGAGGAAGACUUAUAUCGACUGCCAUGAGAAUAUCUCCAAGGUAAUUGCAAAAAGCACACUGAUUAAGCCUUCGUAGGAGAGAUGUGCAUCCUGUCUAGGGAAAAAUUCUCAAGAGUCGCCUAGGAUAGCUCUUCCUUUUUGAAAUGGACCUGUAGCCUGAGGACCUCCAGACUUCACUCUGCUCCUGGGGAUUCGCCCUUCCCACCAGAGCAUUACCAGGCUUUUCCAUCUCCUACUCAUACAAUUGAUUACUGGACCUAAAUGCAGUGCGUCACAUUCCUGGCAUAUCCUAUCUCAUUGAUUUUAGACCAUCUUUCACCUUAUGGAAUUCAUAUUAAACCUUGG